UCCUGAGACGGGCGUGCAGUAUGUUCGACAUGUACCUGGUGUGGCUUCAAGUAAAGAAGCUGAGAAGGACAUUUCCCCUUGCCCAGACUGUCCAACUCCCCUGACUGUAUCAAGCCUGGCUGCCAGACACCUUCCAGGACCUGUCUCAAGUGGACAGUGUGGGGCUUGCGGGUCAGUGUGACAUUCACACAGCAGGUACAGAGAGCCUGGAGAGGCCCUGCCCAGCCCCAGGGACUGCCAGGCAGGGUGGUGGAGAAGGGGGCAUCAAAGGGAGCUCUCCAGAUUGAAGGAGAGUCUCGCCUGUCGUAAGAUUCCAGGUGCACACAGAGCCUAACCUGGUCAGAGGAGGGGCCCCAGGUGCCCAGGGAACAGCAAAGAGGUGAUAAUGGGAAGGGCUGCAACCUCUGGACCCAGAGUGGUUGUGGGCUGUGCUUCACCCCACUUUGCAGCCCCCAGCUGAGACAAGUCCCACAUGCCCACCAGGCAGAGGCCAGCACAGGCCCUGCCAGGGGUAGAAUGCCCAGUCACACUGCCACUCCACAGGACACUGUCACUCACAAAGCCUCACUGGACCACAUCUCUGCCAAAGAUUGUGAGGAUCAACCUCACCAGUACCCCCCUUCACAGGUGGGAAACUGAGGCCCAGGCCCCAGACAGUUGACCAGCUCUGAGCCACUGGACUCAAGGAGAGCAUUCACUGAAGUUGGUCAAACCUGGCUGCAAGGAGACCAGACCCAAGACUACCACAGCCCAGGCCCAGGGCAAGUGAACAACUUCAUCAGUACAGCCUCGCCCCCAGCACUGGACCGCUGUGGACUUCACUGCACAGAGGAGGACACUGAGUCCUGUAGAGGCUCAGAGGCUUACCCUGGUCACACAGCUGGGAGACAGCAGAGCCAAGAAAGGAACCCAAAAGCCUGACCCCAAAGUCUACACCCUCCAGGAGACUUGGCCAGUGGGGUGUCCCCCACAGGACCUUGACAGACAUGGCCUGGAAAAGCAGGGGGGCAGAGCUCACGCUGGCCGGAAGGUGGCAGGGCAGGCAGAGCCUUAGUGCCCGCCAAGGACUAUGGAGGUCACUCGGCCGGGAGCAGCCCUCGUACGUACGCCCCGCCCAAGCUCCACCCAAUCUCAGCGCCACCGGGACUCAGACCCUGGCUAGCUUCAGCCCCACCCAGAUUGCACCCCAACUCCACCCAGGCCCCGCCGCGCCUGGCCAAUGGCCCAGGCCUGCAAUUGGACACCUAAGAAACUCCAGACUAGGGCUGGAGUUGACCUCUGCUCCAUCCCCCAAGGACCCCAACUGUGGGUGUAGGGGUGUAGGGGUGUAGGGGUGUAGGUAGGCAGUAAAGGCCGGCAGAGCCCAGGAGGGCCUUCCCCCUGGUCCAGCCCACAGUCACAGCCAAUCAGAACCCCACUCCCGCAGGAAUUGUCGCCUGUGUUAGCAGCUUUAUUGAGGUUUAAUUUGCAUGCCCUGCAGUUCACCAUUUAAGGUGUACAUUUAAGGUGGGUUUCACUCAGGCUGUGCAGCCCUGGACACAACCUAAUUUGACAGCAUUUUCACCCUUUAAAAAGAAAC
rnacentral:lncRNA from 1 species